rnacentral:rRNA from 1 species
GGGGAAUAUUGGACAAUGGGCGCAAGCCUGAUCCAGCCAUGCCGCGUGAGUGAUGACGGCCUUAGGGUUGUAAAGCUCUUUCACCCACGACGAUAAUGACGGUAGUGGGAGAAGAAGCCCCGGCUAACUUCGUGCCAGCAGCCGCGGUAAUACGAAGGGGGCUAGCGUUGUUCGGAUUUACUGGGCGUAAAGCGUACGUAGGCGGAUCGUUAAGUCAGAGGUGAAAUCCCGGAGCUCAACUUCGGAAUUGCCUUUGAUACUGGCGGUCUUGAGUUCGGGAGAGGUGAGUGGAACUGCUAGUGUAGAGGUGAAAUUCGUAGAUAUUAGCAAGAACACCAGUGGCGAAGGCGGCUCACUGGCCCGAUACUGACGCUGAGGUACGAAAGCGUGGGGAGCAAAC